rnacentral:rRNA from 1 species
GCUAUACAUGCAGUCGAGCGAAGAGAUGGGAGCUUGCUCCCUGAUCUUAGCGGCGGACGGGUGAGUAACACGUGGGCAACCUGCCCUGCAGACUGGGAUAACUCCGGGAAACCGGAGCUAAUACCGGGUAAUACAUCGCACCGCAUGGUGCAAUGUUGAAAGUUGGCCUUUGGAUAACACUGCGGGAUGGGCCCGCGGCGCAUUAUCUAUUUGGUAAGGUAACGGCUUACCAAGGCGACAAUGCGUAUCCGACCUGAGAGGGUGAUCGGCCACACUGGGACUGAGACACGGCCCACACUCCUACGGGAGGCAGCAGUAGGGAAUCUUCCCCAAUGGACAAAAGUCUGACAGAGCAACGCCCCGUGAGUGACAAAAGCCUUCUGGUCGUAAAGCUCUGGUGAUAGGGAAAAACAAGUAUCGUUCGAAUAGCGCUAUAUUGUGAGUGUAUAUACACAGAGCGACGCCUAUAACUACGUGAGAACACGCGCUAUAUACAUGUGUCACGCGUGUGUCCGAAUAUAUUGGGCGUAGCGCGCGCGCGCGCUCUCUUAGACUGAGAUGUGAGCCCCACCUCUCAGUGUGAGUCACAUGAACUCUAGAGACGAGUGUGCAGAGAGAGAGUGGAUACGCGUGUAGCUGUGAUGUGCAUAUAUGUGUAGAGACACGUGUCGCGAGCGCUCUCUCUGCUCUGAAUCUGACUCAGACGCGCAAACGUGUGACACACCGGUAUAUAUACUGUGAUAGUCACCUGUACACGAUGAGUGCUAUGUGUUGGGGGGUUCCACCCUCACUGCUGAAAUUAACACAUUAUACACUCCGCCUGGGGAGUACGACCGCAAGGUUGAAACUCACAGGAGUUGACGGGGGGCCCGCACAAGCAGUGGAGCAUGUGGGUUAAUUCUAAGCAACGCGAGAACCUUACAACGGCUCGACAUCCUCUGACAUCCUGGAGACAGGACAUUCUCCUCUUGGGGGACACAGUGACACGUGUUGCAUGGUUGUCGUCAGCUCUGUGUGAGAUGUUGGGUUAAUUUCGCAACGAGAGCAACUUGAUCUUAGUUGUCAGCAUC